CCUACGGGAGGCAGCAGUGGGGAAUAUUGGACAAUGGGCGAAAGCCUGAUCCAGCCAUGCCGCGUGUGUGAAGAAGGCCUUCGGGUUGUAAAGCACUUUCAGUGGGGAAGAAAGCCUUGGGGCUAAUACCCUCGAGGAAGGACAUCACCCACAGAAGAAGCACCGGCUAACUCCGUGCCAGCAGCCGCGGUAAUACGGAGGGUGCGAGCGUGAAUCGGAAUUACUGGGCGUAAAGCGCGCGUAGGCGGUCUGAUAAGCCGGUUGUGAAAGCCCCGGGCUCAACCUGGGAACGGCAUCCGGAACUGUCAGGCUAGAGUGCAAGAGAGGAAGGUAGAAUGCGCGGAGUAGCGGUGAAAUGCGUAGAGAUCGGGAAGAAUACCAGUGGCGAAGGCGGCCUUCUGGACUGUCACUGACGCUGAGGUGCGAAAGCGUGGGUAGCAAACAGGAUUAGAUACCCUUGUAGUC
rnacentral:rRNA from 1 species